GAGAUUCUGCUCUUUCUUGAAACCCAUCCCUCCCCAGAAUCUGUUCUCCCCUUGCUUCCUUCUUGAAGGCGCUGGCCAGGCCUGGGUGUGGCAGGGCAGAAAUGAAAGUUGUCCUGGCAACACACAGGGUUCGUCAACAUUUCCAUCCCAGCGGCUCAGAGGCCUGAGCCCUUCUCUUGCCCAAUGUGGCCUGACAAGAUGAGCCUUCCUGGAAUGGAAGCUAGGUUGGGCUGGCCAGGUCUCCGCCCCUCCCCGGUGCACGGGGCGGCAGAACCACACAGGCUCGCUGGUGAGUUGACUAAUUUCCCCCUCUACCACCCCAGCCUGACACUAGGCAGCCAACAAGGACGCCUGGAAGGGGUGAUGGAAGUGAGACCGGGUGUCUGGAGAAGGCUGGGUCUGAGUGUUCCGGUGUGUGAGCUCGUUUCAGAGCCCAAUACUGCUGGCACCUUGGUGGCACCUUAUCCCAGCUGACUCAGCUUUCUAUUACGCAGACAGGGGAGGGGCUCACCUCGGAGGGAAGGGACCACACAGGGGAUGGGGCAAGAGGAGCAGCACACACAGAUGCGCGGUGGGCACUAGGAAAGCCAGGCCACCAGCUCUGCUAAGGGCGGCUUCACUGCCCCCUCUGCCUCUUGGGCUUUUUUUUUUUUUUUUUUUUUUCCCAGGAGAAAACUUCCCUUGAGGGAUACUUGUAAGUGCCCUUCCAGGAGGUCUGGGGGCAAAGGUGAUGACUAACCUCCUGCCCAACCACUGGCUUCGAGACGUGGAGGUGGGUAGCGGGCUGUCAAGGUAAAGGAGACACAAGCCAUCCAGACCCUCAUCCAACCCAGCCCUCCGAACUCUGGGGAGGACAGGGAGGAUACAGGGAGCCUGGGAAGAAACCCUGAAGGAGCCCCUCCAAAAGUCCCAGCCCUCCCUCCUCCAGAGGACACCCCAAGCUCCUCACAGCAAUCGGGCAUCUUAAGUUCUGGCUGAACCGGUGGUUCCUGAGCCCCCCUCCCAGCCCUGCAUCCUCCUCUAUAAAACCUUCAGAGGAGUCUGAUUCUUCCUGGACACAGAGAGCAGCAUUCAGACAUCCUGGAGGCCCUGGUAGUUCCCCAAUACAGAGGUCGGCUGGCCUCCCAGGCUUGGGGCAAGGUGGGUCUAGGACCCCAGUCCCAAACCUCUCUGGGACAAAUGUGCUUUGAUUCUCAGAGCAGCCCUAGUGAAAUCAAUCCUAGCCACUCCCAUCUGACCUCACGAAAAUUAUUUAAUCUCUUUGAGAAAAAUACGAAGACAUCAAAGAACACAUUAUGGAAACGACAAGGUGGGAAGGCUGAACCGAUUCUAGCUGUUCUCAGCGGACACAGGGGUACUGGGAGUGGUUUCCAACUGCCACCUGCCUCCCUGAGACCCAGCGGCCUGAGUGUAUAUGAAAUGGGACUUUCUCCCUGGGUCAGCCUGGGUGAGGGGCCCCCCUAGGUGCCCGACUCCCCGCCGGGGCAGCUGCCCUUCCGGUUCCACAUCUCGUUCUCCUGCCGGAGCCGCUGGUUCUCUGUCCGGAGCCUCUCGACCUCAGCAGCCAGCUCCUCCACCUGGCGGCAGGGCUGCGGGCCGGUGCACCCCCGCAGCUGCUGCAGCCUCCUGGUCUCCUCCUCGGCCUGCGACAGCCGCCUCUCCAGAUCCAGGUAGUCUCGAACCAGCUCCUGCUUGCUGCGGUCCUGCAGGCGCUCGGUGUGGUAGCGCUCGUAGGCCUCGGAGAAAUCCCUCUGCUGGAACUCACCGUGAGCCGGGCCUCGCCCGUCGCCUUCCCCUGCCUCGCUCUCCCCGCUGGAGCCUGGCUGGGAGGCCCCGUGGGGCACUUCCAGGUUGGGCUCCUCAGGGUCUCGGUCAUUCAUCAGAAAUUGGGUGGUGUUGUAGGGCGCCACGGGCUGGCCUUUGGCGAACAUCUCCUCGCGGACCCGGGAGGCCCUCUGGCUCUGCCUCUCAUCCCGCUGUUGCUUCUCGGCCCAGCUCAGCUCCAGGUAGGGCCGCCAGUGCCUUUUGCGCUUUGAAGGCCUCCUGCGGUGCUUCUUCCGGCCCAGCACAGCCUCCACUGAGCUGCCCCCUGGGCUCUGGGUCCGGGAAGCCCUACUGUUCCAGCCCAGGCCACUGCCAGCCCCAGUAGGGUCUUCCUCCUCCGAGUGGCUCUCUAUCCGGGGUGUCAGGGGCAGGGAACUACCAGGGUCAUGAGGCUCAGGGGGUGUCUGGGGGCUCCCAGGAGCACCAGGGGUCUAGACAGAGGACAAGGAAGAAUAAAUCACAGACAGCCUGUCCCCGGUGGUGGAACCCUUCCAUAACCACUUGGCCUGAAGCCAACUUUCCCAUAGCUGACUUGGGGUCACUCUCCAGCCUCUCACCCUCUGCAACUAUUUGUUGGUUUGUGGGUUUUUACCUGUCUACUGUCUGCCCCCCUGACCCAGCCCUCCCCGAGCAAACUCAGGAAAACAGC
rnacentral:lncRNA from 1 species